rnacentral:rRNA from 1 species
AUGAUUAAAGCUAGCGCUGAAGCGUUCAAGCACAUGUCAGCUGGCCUUAAAGCUCCAAUGGUGAGCUGUGAACCAUUGGCAGAGAAGAGGGAUGGUCUGGGAUUUGAAGACCAUCAGGUUGCGAUCACUGCAGACAGGUUAACUAGGAAUGGCGACCUUGCAGUCCUAUCAAAUGGUGGUGCAACCCAGGAAGAUAAUUUGGGUGGUUCUGUGAGUGUGAAUGCACUUCAAGGCGAGCACCUCCGGAGAACCAAAGGGGUGUUGGCAGGCCGACAAAUAGCCGUGAGAAAGCACCAUAUCACUCUCUCAGCAAGCGUACUAGGUUUUGUAGCAUAUUCGUCGUGA